ACCUGCAAAUUUUCCAUGAGAUGCGUAAAUAAAUAGAUGUUUUGAUAGUAAUAGUAUAUUACAUCAAGUUUAAAAAGCAUAUACCAAAACUGAAAUCCAAAGAAAUAUAUAAAAAAAACAAUUCUUCAUUUACACAUCAUCAUCAUUAUUUAUUAUUUCUACUAGCCUACUGAUAUAACACGUCAACACAUAUUACAUCCUAUAUACUCAUUCAUAUACAUAUAUCAACAUCAAUAUAACCUACAGACAAUAAGCACACAAGUCGAUACAAAAUACAUACAUAGUUCAUCCUAUUAUUGACUAGAGAAAAUCAUCAGUAGUAGUUUAGUAGAGAAUUGGUGAGAGAGUCAAACAUACCUCAAUCAAAUUAUGGAAACAGAGGAAACCAACCCAGUUUAUUGACUUGUAUAUUGCAACCUACAAAAUAAAAUUCCAUAUUGCAAAUUUAUAAUCGAUCACACGCAUGAUAAUAUAUAAACGAAUUUUGAAAUUCUAUAGUUAAAGAUCCAACUUGAACCGGAGACCAGACCCGAGAACGGUGACGUAAUUUGAUCAAGGCGAGACCUUUAGUAGCUAGCUUGCUUGCACCCGAUCUGAAACCAUGAGAAUAAACAAAACAAAAAAAAGUCAGAAAGAAUGAACAGAGACCCUAAGCUAUAGACUCCAGCAGUUGAAUUAGAUACUACGGUGAGAGAGAUAAAGAUAGAGAGAGAACGAACCUAUGAGAGCGUUGAUAGAUCGGACCGAAGCUUAGCAUAUUCACGAACCAUCCAGAAAUAAUACCACCGCAGCCAUGAUGAUGAAGAAACUAUGUAUUUAGAAACAGAGGAACUUAGGACUCGAGUAAGAGAGAGAGAUGAUUCUAGAUCGUUUUAGGGUUUUUUUUUCCUUUCUCCUAACUUUGAUAUCGAGAAUACGAGAACCGUAUUUAAAGAGAAGAGGUAAGGGGUUAAUUAAUUAAAUUUGAUCUUUUAAUUUACAAAAAUACUACCGUUACAUACAUACACUGUUACACCGUUUUAAAAAAGUUACCGUUCAUAUAACGUUCUUAUUUGUUGACUUGUUGUAAAAAGGAAAAACACCAGUCACGCCGAACCGGAUUAAACCGAAGUUAGCCGUCUCGAUUCAGUCUUUUUAUUGAAAUCCUUAAUUUGUGGUUACUAUAGUCAUGGACCACACAACGUCCCAAUCCAUAUCCAUGAUCGUGUUAUAAGCCAACCAAAUCAAAUAGGUUAAGCUGGUUUUGUCCAUUACAGCUUAAUUAGAUUAGAUCCUUUUGAUAAAAUAAUAAAAAUAUUAUAUUAUAUAACCUUUUCGAGUAAAACUCAAAAUAAAAUAAAAAACGAGACAAUGUAUUAUACAAUUACUUCCAACGUACUCUCAAAGGUCACACCAGGAACAAUCAGAGCAAGAGCAACAAUGGAGUCUGCUACUAAACCUAAACCCCGAUGGCUACCAAAAUAUCUUGAUGAUGCGUCACGGUGAUCGCAUUGACAAAGUCGAUCCACUCUGGCUCGAUACAGCCGCCAGACCAUGGGAUCCUCCCCUCGUUCAAGACGGUAUGGUUCGAGCGUUUCAAACUGGUCAACGGAUUCGAUCUCAGAUCCACUUUCCGAUUCACCGCGUUUUCGUCUCCCCUUUCGUCCGCUGCGUUCAGACUGCUUCCGAAGCUAUCGCUGCUCUGUCCGCCGUCGUUUUAGAUGCCGCAAUGGGAAGAGCCAGUGGAAGGAUGUACAGAUCGAUUUCUUAAUUUGAUAAAGACUCUUGCUGAUAAGUAUCCUUCUGAGAACUUGCUCUUAAUCACUCACGGGAAGGACAACAUUUGCAACCUUUGAAGGCGUAGAUGUGUACGACGUAGAAUAUUGUGCUUGUGCUGAACUGAGAAGACAGGUCUUGAGUAAAGAUGGAUCUAUUAUAGCUGGAGGAGACUUCGAGGUGAUUACAAGUCUUAGUCAAAGUGGAAUCAAGUACAAUUCCUUGAGUACCACAGACCAAACUUCUGUUUAACUCAAUUGUGUGUGUGUUCCGGAUGAUCAUGGCACUAGAAAGCCAGAUAUGGUUAUCUAGAAACUUCUGGUUAACAGGACAUGACCUUCACUACAAAUGGGAACGUUACGCAUACAACAAGAACAGUAUUGUAGUCAUACCAAGGAAAAAAAGGCUGAUGUCAUUCAUUCAACCUUUAGUUUUUAACUCAUGGAUUUGUGGGAACUUAUGUGUUGUUUCAUUGAAUAAGCCAAUAAAACUUUUUAACUGAACGAGUAAACUUAACGUCAAAUUAAA